rnacentral:lncRNA from 1 species
GGGAGUUCAUUCAGCACUAAUCCUACAUAAAAAAAAAAAAAAAAUUAACCAGGCUGUUCUCACGUAAGCAGAAAUGGUGCAAGAGCUGCAUUCCAGAAAGUGACUCAAAGUGGAAUUGCCAAAUGAUAGCGCACGGUGAACACAUCGCAGCGAGACACCGCAGACGGAGGAACCACAGGGCACGAGGGGCGGGCAGGCUGCAGCACCGCGUCCCUGCUCUCAGCGGUGCGUGUGCCAGGGAGAGCACUCACACAGUAUCUUUGUUAGAUAGGUCGGUAAUUAAGCUCGUGCUUUAUCAUCAGCGGUCCAAAUGACCACUUGUGAUAUGUAAAAUCAAAUUCCUUCACUGCUGGGGGCUGGGACAGCUGCCUGUGCUCAUUUGAUAUGGAGGCAUAACUUUUUUUCUUUUUUUAAUACAGUGAAAGCAAUUGCCACAGCUAUGAUCUUCUGCAAGAGGCAACUCUGGGAAGAGCUGCACUUGGAAAAGGAGAUCAGGCUUGUAGCACACCUCUUCCCUCCAAUUUUCUUUAAAUACUUUUGAAGGUAACCACAGGUGACACACUCCUUCCAACCUGUCAGCUGAGGCAUGUGAAAUAGCCACGUACACUGCUCCUGUGCAGGUGAAGCAAUGCUUACAAACCUAUUUAUUGCAAGUGAUAAGGAGGCAGAGUUAAGUUCAAACCACAGAAGGGAGGUUUUAACUAUAAAGGCAUCACAGCACACCAACAAAAAGCUGAGGGAGAUGGUGAUGGACUUCACACAAAGCCUGUCCUUCAGUGGAGGAAGGAUCAGCACUUGGAGAAGGGGUCUCGGACCGAAGGACUGGCACUGAGUUGACAACCACACGCUGCAGGAAGAGCAGAGGAUGUCCCUGCUGCAGGUUUUGGCAGCCAGGUGCGACUCACGGCCUGCGUUUUUGCAGGUAGCUCUCUGCUGAGCAUUCUCAAAACCCGUCUGUUGCAGCAGGAGAGCUGUGGCAGCAAAAAGUGUAAACACAUCACUCCUCCUAUAUAGAAACUCAGCAAGUAGUAAAACAUUAACGCAACCAAAGCUGACCUUUUGGAUUUCUAUUUGCUUAGCGAGCUGUUUCUAAUUGAAGGCCUUUUCCCCGGGCUCCAACAGCUCCCCUUACAGCCCCCAGUACUGGUUACCCAAACCAGUGCACGGAGGUGAACCCACAGAAAGUGAUUUCCAAGGGCAAGCACCCUGGGAGGACACAGCUUCAAACAGCCAAAGCGCAGCACACGGCUCGCACGCCAGCCACAGCACAAGUGUUGGGUCAGGUGCGGGCACAGGGGGAGGCCCCAGGGCAGCUGCAGAAGAAAGCAGCUCAUUGACUUCGGUGGGCAGCUGGCGAGCUCCACAGCCCCCUGCACGCGCUGCUGCCGGGUGGGCAGGGGCACGGGCAGGGUUGGAGCCGAGCUGCAAGGCUGUUUUCUCCCCGUCCCACUCAGGCAUGCACAUUAGGGGAGAAGAGCAGAGAGGGAUGGCCUGAAAAUUGGUUUGAUUCAGAGCGUGUUCACAGAAGGACUUACUCACCCUGCGCACUCAGAUUUUAUCCAGCCUAGCGGUGCAUUUUGCUUUCUGCAGCCGCUGCUCCCGGCUGGACUUCGCCCCCCCCCCAUUUCUGAUUGUUUGAAACACAAUGCAAACCAACAAAAACACAUCCAUCAAGCACAUUAGGGUUAGAAAGGAAAAUGUUAUUACCUGGAAUAGUCCCCUUUGGCUUCCUACAAUUGAAAAACAGUGACAGAAUUAAAACAAGAUCUCUUCAAAACUCCUCGGUUUUCCCAGCAUUGUUCGCUGCCCCACUCCCACAGCUUUUUGGCUGG